rnacentral:rRNA from 1 species
UACAGAGGUCUCAAGCGUUGUUCGGAUUCAUUGGGCGUAAAGGGUGCGUAGGUGGCGCGCUAAGUCGGGUGUGAAAUCUCGGAGCUUAACUCCGAAAUUGCAUUCGAUACUGGCGUGCUUGAGGACUGGAGAGGAGACUGGAAUUCAUGGUGUAGCAGUGAAAUGCGUAGAGAUCAUGAGGAAGACCAGUGGCGAAGGCGGGUCUCUGGACAGUUCCUGACACUGAGGCACGAAGGCCAGGGGAGCAAACAGG